rnacentral:rRNA from 1 species
AUGGAGACAGUAAGUAGGACAUUUAACAGAGUUUUGACAUGCCUCCUCAGGUUAGCACAAGACAUAAUUGUACCCAAGGACCCAACAUUUUCGGAGGUGCACCCAAACUUAGAAAAUCCAGCAUUCUGGCUACACUCCAAUGACUGCAUAGGAGCUAUAGAUGGGACACAUGUGAAUGUUGUGGUGGAUAAGAGUAAGAGGGUUCCAUACUUGAACAGACACAAUGAAACCAGUCAGAAUAUGCUUGCUGUUUGUGAUUUCGACAUGAGAUUUACAUUUGUGAUGUCGGGAUGGCCUGGGUCAGCACAUGCAAUGAGAGUUUUCAAAGAUGCCAUAACUACUCAUCAUCAGAAACUUCCACAUCCACCGCCAGGGAAGUAUUAUGUGGUUGAUGCGGGGUACCCAAACCGGCUGGGCUACCUUUCACCAUACAGAUGC